CUACGGGUUGCUGCAGUUUGGAAUAUUGGACAAUGGACGAAAGUCUGAUCCAGCGACGCCGCGUGGACGAUGAAGGCCUUCGGGUUGUAAAGUCCUUUUGCCGCCGAUUAAUUUUUGAAAGUAGGCGGAGAAUAAGAGGUUGCUAACUCUGUGCCAGCAGCAGCGGUAAUACAGAGACCUCAAGCGUUAUCCGGAAUCAUUGGGCGUAAAGCGUACCGAUAGGUGGCUAAGAAAGUCAGAAGUGAAAUUCCAAAGCUUAACUUUGGGACUGUCUUUUGAAACUUCUUGGCUUGAGGGGCAAAGAGGAAGCUGGAACGAGCGGUGUAGUAGUGAAAUGCGUUGAUAUCGCUCGGAACACCAAUAGCGAAGGCAAGCUUCUGGGUGCCUCCUGACACUGCUAGGACGAGAGCGUGGGGAGCGAAUGGGAUUAGAUACCCCGGUAGUC
rnacentral:rRNA from 1 species